rnacentral:rRNA from 1 species
UUUUUUUUUGAUUAACACAUUGUACAGAUAGCCAUGCAUKUCUAAGUAUAAGCAAUUAUACCGUGAAACUGCGAAUGGCUCAUUAAAUCAGUUAUCGUUUAUUUGAUAGUACCUUACUACUUGGAUAACCGUGGUAAUUCUAGAGCUAAUACAUGCUAAAAACCCCAACUUCGGGAGGGGUGUAUUUAUUAGAUAAAAAACCAAUGCCCUUCGGGGCUCCUUGGUGAUUCAUGAUAACUUCUCAGAUCGCAUAGCCUUGAGCUGGCGACGGUUCAUUCAAAUUUCUGCCCUAUCAACUUUCGAUGGUAAGGUAGUGGCUUACCAUGGUUGCAACGGGUAACGGGGAAUUAGGGUUCGAUUCCGGAGAGGGAGCCUGAGAAACGGCUACCACAUCCAAGGAAGGCAGCAGGCGCGCAAAUUACCCAAUUCCGAUACGGAGAGGUAGUGACAAUAAAUACUGAUACAGGGCUCUUUUGGGUCUUGUAAUUGGAAUGAGUACAAUUUAAACCUCUUAACGAGGAACAAUUGGAGGGCAAGUCUGGUGCCAGCAGCCGCGGUAAUUCCAGCUCCAAUAGCGUAUAUUAAAGUUGUUGCAGUUAAAAAGCUCGUAGUUGAACCUUUGGCCUGGCUGGCAGGUCCGCCUCACCGCGUGCACUUGUCCGGCCGGGCCUUUUCUUCUGGAGAACCGCAUGCCCUUCACUGGGUGUGUUGGGGACCAGGACUUUUACUUUGAAAAAAUUAGAGUGUUCAAAGCAGGCCUUUGCUCGAAUACGUUAGCAUGGAAUAAUAGAAUAGGACGUGCGGUCCUAUUUUGUUGGUUUCUAGGACCGCCGUAAUGAUUAAUAGGGACAGUUGGGGGCAUCAGUAUUCAAUUGUCAGAGGUGAAAUUCUUGGAUUUAUUGAAGACUAACUACUGCGAAAGCAUUUGCCAAAGAUGUUUUCAUUAAUCAGUGAACGAAAGUUAGGGGAUCGAAGACGAUCAGAUACCGUCGUAGUCUUAACCAUAAACUAUGCCGACUAGGGAUCGGGCGGUGUUUCUAAUGUGACCCGCUCGGCACCUUACGAGAAAUCAAAGUGUUUGGGUUCUGGGGGGGAGUAUGGUCGCAAGGCUGACUAG